UACAGACUUCGGCCGAUCGAUACUUCACUUCCCGAGGUUUCUGCGUACGCUUUCGCAGAAGUUGCGUAUGAGCACAUGUGACAUUCGCACAACUUGAUGAUGAUUUAUUACUUUCGCCGGCUAAGGUCGUGCGAUCAAUGAACGUCAUGUCGGAAUAUUUGCUUGAUCUCGUGCAAAUAAUAAAUAAUCAAUUUUGCCCGUUAGUAAAUACAUAUAAGUAAUAAUUUCUUUUAAGGGCCGAUUGUUUCAACUUCUUGGUAAGUUUUACCCGACAGAUAGCAUAUCUUUGCCUCUUUUCAGAUAAGUUCUAAAAAAGGGAUGAAGAUAUGAUACCUGUUGGAUAAAUUUACGAAGAAGUUGGAACAAUCGGCCCUAAGUCUUGUAAAAUUUUCUUUCUCCGUUGAAUCCUGUUCUGAAAGGCUUUUCUUAUGUCAACGGUUUUUGCACAUCUGCGAUUCUUCAAAUAGGAAGGCAAAGAAAAGGUCGCUAUGCCUUGUGCAGUGAAACGUAUACGUUGCUCCCUUCGGAGAAGCAAAUCUAUUGUGUAAGAAUCUACAUCGCACCUAGGGGAACUAUCUCGUAAGGGAUGGUCGAAGAAUCGUAAUACUUUGUGGUAGUAUGGUAAACAUCUUGCAACAUUCAGUUUUCUCUUCGUGAAUUUGGUAAAUAGAUUUAUAGUUAGAGAAAUAUACAAACUGUGCGCACAAAAUAUUCAAUUUGAGAAGUUGUAAAGUUUCACAAGAAAAUUAUAUAUUUAAUUGCGGACAUCAUCAUAAAUGUGGUUUAAAGUAACUUUCAAAAUUAAUUCACAAUUCCGAGAUUAAUGCACUUCAAUUGAUACAUAAAUACAUCAGGAAAAUCUUUAUGAUAUAUACAUUAAUUAUAUACAGCCACGUAAUUUAAAAAAUUGUUACACGCAAAGAAAGAACAGGAAGUAAGGUGCUCAAAUAUAUUUCUCAGCUAUCUAGAAGUGUUUCGUGCGAAGGUGGAAUUGUAUAAUCGUGAGAAUUUGUAUCAAAACAAUGAGUUCGUGGUAGGUAAGAAAACUCACCGAGUAUAUGGAACGUCUUGGCAACGUGCGUCUGCUUUUGGCACGCAGGUUUCUUCCGUGCAGUGAUAUAAAUCGCGUGAGUCGCAAAUCAGCAGACAAAAAUCACAGUCGCAAACACGAAUUGUUUGUGAAACAAAUCGUAAAAACUGCACACGAUAAAGUCUCUCUUUCAUGGAUGCAUAAAUUAUGCGGAGCGUUCCGCGAAUCGAUCGAUCGAGGUAAAUAUGAGAUUUUACGAUUUGGCAGAGAAUUCCCGCAGCUUGAACGUGAUGUAUAUUCCUUAGAAAAUAGAUAAGAUAAAAUUACAGCGAGAAAAUAGCAAAUGCAAAAUAUAAAAUUUUUCAAUAUAAUUUUUUUAUAUUUCUUGCGAGUUUUCGUUAAUUUAAAAAAAAACAAGAUUUUAAAUUAUGAGAUUUCGACAUCGAUUUCCUUUUGUUUUUUCCAUAAAUUAUUUUAACAAAAUUUUAAUAAAUAUUCAAUUUAUCGAUUGGCUCGUAAAUUAAAAGAGUUUUUAUGUAAAGUUUGUUUUUGUAGUUACGCCACAUGAUUCAUAACUUAUAGUUACGGGAAUGCGUUUAUACCGGUGUAUCGCAGUUAUAUAAAAUUUCUGUUUGAUUAUAGACGACGAAGACAAUUUGCACUUCCGGGAGCUAUUACUAUGCCACAACUUCAUGAUGAAAUGAAAUGUACCUGUCCUAUUGAGCGGAAGUCGCUGUAAUUCUCGGAAGACAACAUGUCUGUUUACCACGGUAGUUCGAAAAAGGAGGAACGACCGAACGUAUUUUUCUUGGAUGUAAAUCGCGGGUGCGGAUCGUUGAGUGCAGUAUCGUUUGAAAUACGCAUUCUACGAGGCCAAUUGUACGUUGGACUUGUUUUCGAAAGCGGACAAACAAAUCGGAAAACGGUACGAACGAAGAUAACAUCGAUCGUCCGGUUAUCCCUGCAGCUUGGAAAAACGAAGUUUCGAAUUUUUGAGAUAAAACGUGAACGGGGACUUCCGCAGCAAAGAUUUUUCAAGCAAACAUUAUUGCAACAUCUCCAAUUACUGCGGAGCGCUUGAUAAAAUCUUAAUACAAAAAUUAAGUGACGGAUACCAUGGAACGCCCCCGGAAGUUACGUAAAACCCGUAUGCAUGCUGCGAACAUGUUCAACACACGUGACUUGAAACGAGUUGUAACUAUACACGUGGUGUAUAUCUAAUCAUCCAAUGUGAUCACGCAAAUUGCCAGGUUUUUGGGUACCACCGAAAAUGAGAGAAUCUACCUUGCUCUAUAUCACAUUCCAUUGCGAAAAAUAGAACAGUCGAUAUUCGAUAAGUCUGUAACAUUGGUUUUAAACCUUCACCGAAGAAUAAACUGAGCGACGUAGGGUAAUCGCUUUACAACUGGAACGAGACUAUCAUUAUGAGCGGCGAGAAUUUCCAAACCACAAAAUUUCCGCUGGCAUGAGGAAACGAUCCGCUCCCGACUGUAUCUCUGAUAAAAAGCACAUACGCAUACGUGACGUCGCGUAAACGCUUUUAGUGACGCCGUUGGGUUCAUACUGAUUCAUGUGUAUAAUUUACCUGCAUUAUCAUUAUGCAAAUAGUUACGUUCGCGCGAUAAGACGUGCGCUACUUAUCGCGAGGUAACCGAAUCCAUAUAGAGAGUUGGUAUUUCUAUAAUUAGAAUAUUCUGCAAUAUAGUGCAUACACGCGAAACAGGAACUAUUACAUCAAGAAUUGCGAGCUCUUGAGGCAAAAUACGUGGGACGAUAUUUCAAAGAAUUUUUAUUUAUUGUACUUUAUAAAUACGAGUGUACGGCAACCAAGUGUAUUUAUACGUACUUAAACGAGCAUGUCUUCCAUGUCCCGAUUUUCACCAUAAAUAAUGUCAUAGUGCGCGCAAAUUCGCAUCCGUCGCCAACCAGAUCUAAUGCCAUUGACCGCUGAUACGUGAUAUCGAUUUACGCGUAAUCAUAGCUCGCGAAAACUACGGAGGGGCCAGUUCGAUAACCCGUCGCGCCACAACGUAAUUCACGUAUUUUUAUCCAUUCUGCAGUCUGCACACAUGCAGUCUGAGGUCGAAAGUUGUCGCUGUGAUAAGAUGCUUUUGCGUUGCCAUGCAGCAAGAUAGCGGUAAAUAUUGACCACAGAUGUCGGCAUCAAAACUCGUAAAAACAAGAUGACGUAAGAGCAUAGCAAGAUACAUUAUGGUGCAUUUGUCAAUACGCUUCCUUUAUGUGCGAUAACUAUUUAUAAUUUUCAAAACUUUCAGAUCGCUCUAGCUAAAAUCUAAAAGAUUUUAUUCAUCAUUUCCUAACGUAAGUCUACUCGAAAAAUUUGCAGCUGAAACAUCUUGCGAUGAUUGUCCAUGUUAUAUUUCUUAUUGAUCUGUUGUUCGAUAUUCUAGACACACUGAUAAGCGAAAAAUUAAGAAAAUCCAAUCUUGAAGAUGAAUUAUAAGAGAUAUUUCCGCAUAUAAUCAUAUUAUCGAUUUUAAAAGAAAUCUCUUUAUAAAUAAUCGCGACAUUAAGCAUUUUCUUCUGAGCGAGUUGUUUACUUCAAAGUGAAGCGAAGAAAAAUCUACCGACGCGUGAUACAUCUGCGUCAUGGAAUUAACUGUUAUUAGACAUGCAUCAAUUAAUAUUAUAGAAAAUAAAUGUUAUAACAUGAUAAAAUCGUAUAUUUCUUUAUAUAUGAUAAAUGCCAUUUUACUGUGUGUAAAUUAAUAUCCGGUUUCUCUCAGUUAAAAAUGUAUGAUCAAAAAUUCAGAUAGCCGUUCAAUGCAAUUUUCAUGCAUGAUACAAAAGCUGUGCGUAUAUUUAUUCAUGAUAUUGUCUCAUGGAAAAUUUUCCAUUGACGAGUCUGCUGAGACUCUCUCGAUGUUAAAUGGUUAAUUGACUCAGGGUAAACGGAUAGAGCAAUGUGUCAAUUGCCAAGAUUUAAGAAUGUUCCAAACAGCAGGGGGUCUUUUGUCUAUCAUAGUAUCUUAUAGAUUUAUUGAAUCUAUAAUAAAAUAAAUAUUAUACGAAA